rnacentral:lncRNA from 1 species
UCACACGCUGGAGUCAUGGCAGAGAAGGAAGCCUCAGAAGGAGGGAUAGGGCACAACCACGUGGGCGGCUUUCUCAGUCCUCUCUCACAGUAAAGGACUAGACACUUGUCUGCAUGUGAUUUUACCCAGGUAUCAGUCUUGUUCCUGUACUUCUCCCUUUCCUGUCCACUCUUGAGUGCCCAUGGGAUCCUUCUAAUCUUAAGUGCUGCUUGUCCUAUGAAGCUUUCUAGCCUUUUGUGUUUCAUGUAGCAUGUAGACAUGGCUUUACAUCGUCUUGUAAAUUGUCGUCUCCCCAUUUCAUUCUCUGUUCUUUGACCUCAGGAACUUCGUGUCACCUACAUAUCAAGGCUUCCUGUGUUAUCUGUGCUUUAUAAAAUACUUUCGGAACUGAGCAAAUGGUUGUCAGAAGACAGCUGAGCAGGGUUUACUGUAGCAACUCCCAUCUCUGUUUACCAACUAAUGAUCUGUUUGCUUUGUCUAUGAAGUGCUAAUCUAAAAGUGAGAGGGACCAACUAGUCGGUAUCUGUGGCUUCAGAGCACAAGAUCUGUGUCAUCUCUCCUUAGCUUGUUUCCUAGCAGGUUAUAGCCUGAUUUAUCCCACUCACUCUACACAGUCAGCACACUUACUGUGGACAGAAACCGCUUAAUAUGUGCUUUUUGUUCUUGACCUCUGUUAACAAGAAUGGUUUUUGCCUUUAAUAUAUUUUGAUUUGUUUCCUAGUGAGCACUUUCAUUAACAGUCCUGCCAC